ACAUGGAAAAAAUGGCAGGAGAAAACAUAGAAAAUUGUCUAUCUGGAAAAAAUGGCUAGAUUCGUUUAAACUGAUAUCACAAAGAAAAAAUGGCAGUUUAAAGAAUGGUAAGAGGAAACAAAGGAAAAUUGUCUAUGUGGAAAAAAUGGCUAGAUUCGUUUGAACUGAUAUUUCAAGAAAGAAAUGUUAGGAAAAAUGUCUAUGUGGCAAAAGUUGCUAGAUUCAUUGAAACUGAUAUAACCAAACCUAUUACAAAUAUAUAUAGUAUAUAUUUGUAUGUAUAUGUAUAUAGAUAAAAGAAAAAUACACAAAUACGACCGUGGUUCGAAUGGAAGAAGUGCUAAUCAGUAAUUCAUCACUUCAUUCUCCAAUUACUUAAAGAUUGACGAACAAGCAUUAACAUAAUAUAUUAUCUAUUGAGAAAUACAAGGCACCUGAAAUUUCAGGGGUCUGGAUUCUCUGUCUCAAGGAAGGAGUCGACCCCAAUCCCUUAUGAAGCCUGGUAAUUUUGUCCCUCGUAGAAUUUGGAAUCCGAACUUCUCUUGAGAUGGAUAGUCAAGUUAUAAGUCUAUUCCUACAAUUUCCUCUAUCUUCUUUUGGUCCUAACUGUUGGAGAACCUAGAAGUCCAGUUCUUCCAGUUUAAUGAUUGAAGAAUGUUUUUAAGAUCUAAAAAUCAAAUUUAUCUCUCUUAGAAUGAUUAAAAUGUGUUGUUUUUAUAUACUUUUAGUUUAUGAGCCUUAUAAUAUCUGAAUCUCAAAGUGAAUGGAUCCCGUCAGAGUUUCAACGCCUGAAUAUAUUGAUUGUUAUUUAGAGAUGAAUGGAUUCCAACUCUAAGAAGGAAUCCACUCUAUACUCUCGUAUGAAGGUUAACUUGGUUUGGUUCGCUUCUUAGGAUAAAUUUUCAUCACAUCAUCAAUCCCGUAUAUAUCAGAAAUCGAGCAUCUCUUGUUACGGAUAAAGUAUCUCAAAUCUCUUCUUUUGUCCUAAUUCUUAGAGAACAGCGAAGUAUUUCGGUCUUUAAUGAAUGAAAAUCGUUCUAAGCAUAUGAAAAGCAUAUCUAAAUUAAAAAUGUGUCGCUCCAUUUAUCCAAAUGCUUAAUCAUGUUGUGAUAAUCCUAAUAAACAUAUUUUACUUUUUUAUAUUA
rnacentral:lncRNA from 1 species